rnacentral:rRNA from 1 species
CCCGGCGACCGGCGCACGGGUGAGUAACACGUAUGCAACCUGGCCGCCACAGGGGGAUAACCCGCGGAAACGCGGCCUAAUACCCCGUGACGCCACCGGAGGGCAUCCUCCGGUGGCCAAAGGAGCGAUCCGGUGGCGGAUGGGCAUGCGGCGCAUUAGCUAGACGGCGGGGUGACGGCCCACCGUGGCGACGAUGCGUAGGGGUUCUGAGAGGAAGGCCCCCUACACUGGGACUGAGACACGGCCCAGACUCCUACGGAAGGCAGCAG